rnacentral:rRNA from 1 species
GACGAACGCUGGCGGCGCGCUUAACACAUGCAAGUCGAACGGAAAGGCCUGCUUUCCCUUGUGGAUUGCGGGUACUCGAGUGGCGAACGGGUGAGUAACACGUGAGUGGUCUGCCCCCAACUUGGGUAUAAGCCUGGGAAACUGGGUCUAAUUCCCGAUAGGACUGCAGGGUGGUGCCUGUGGUGGAAAACGAUUUUCUAGUGGUUGGGGAUGAGCUCGCGGCCUAUCAGCUUGUUGGUGGGGUAAUGGCCUACCAAGGCGGCGACGGGUAGCCGGCCUGGGAGGGUGGACGGCCACAUUGGGACUGAGACACGGCCCAGACUCCUACGGGAGGCAGCAGUGGGGAAUAUUGCACAAUGGGCGGAAGCCUGAUGCAGCGACGCCGCGUGGGGGAUGACGGCCUUCGGGUUGUAAACUCCUUUCGACCGCGAGGAAGCCACCUGGUUGGAAGGGUGGUGACGGUAGUGGUAGAAGAAGCACCGGCUAACUACGUG